rnacentral:tRNA from 1 species
GGGCCCGUAGCUCAGUGGUUAGAGCAGGGGACUCAUAAUCCCUUGGUCGGGGGUUCGAAUCCCUCCGGGCCUA